GGAAAAAUAAGAGCAUAUUUGUAGGAAUACAGGAAAAUGUAGAAGAGAGGAAAACCAAUGAUGCUGGAGAGGGUCUGAGUGCUGUCCUUGACCAGGGCACAGGAUGAACCCUUCUGUGGGCCUUAGUUGAUUCCUGCCCCUGUUGAAGCAACUUCAGCAAACUGUCCUGAAGUUUUACUUCUCAAGUGAAGCCCAAUGAAAUUUUUGAUACUUGGCAGCCCACAAGUCAUGAAUGACACAUUGUGACUCACGGACAUCUUGGCUUUUUGCAUCCUGUACACAGACACAUGACGAAGACGACUGAUGAGGCUUUUUGAAGCAAAAAGAUGAGUUUGAGUCCCAAAUGAGCACUAACAAACACACUUGGGGAUGAUGAAGUAUACCUGAGUAAUACCUAUAAAGUCAACGAUUUAAAUGGGGAUAUUUGAUUUCCUCUAACCAAAUAACAGAUUACUGUACUUCCUUUUGUGGUUGCCAUGUGUAGUGUGUACAUUGUACACACUCCACAUCCCUCCUUGAUCUACCACUGAACUUCAUCCCCAACCCCACAUACCCUUUUGGUGGCACUGGGGAUUAAACCCAGGGCUUUGACACUAACCUACAUCCCUAGCCUUUUUCAAAUUUUAUUUUAUUUAAUUUUAAUUUUUUUUUUUUUUUGGUACCAGGGUUUGAACUCUGGACCUUGCACUUGCAAAGCAUGGGCCAGAACCACUGAGCUAAAUUCCCAGCCCUUCAAAUUUUAUUUUGAGACAGGGUCUUACUAAAUUGCCUAGGUUGGCCUUGAAUUUGUGAUCCUCCUACCUUAGCCUCCUGAGUGGCUGGGAUUACAGGUGUGUGCCACCACUAUUUACUCACAUUGGAAUUCUCUUAAGUGUAUUGGUCCAAACAAAAAGUUAGGAAACCAUGUAUAGAUGGGAAAGUGUAAUUAAAACCCUUAAUUUGGCUGGAUUUUGUUUUUCAGCGAAUGAGCUAAGUGAAAAGGAAAAUAUCUAAAGAAUAUAAG
ensembl:lncRNA